ensembl:lncRNA
AAUGCUCUUCUCAAUGACUAGUUAUACUGGAACAUCUUGCUCCAGGCGGGGGCAGUAAGAGAAGGCCUUUGUCUGCGUACCAACAGAUCCGUGAGACAUAUAUAACAUGUGCAUGUAAGUGUGUCCAGCCGCUGCAUGGAUCACACAUCAUGCAAUUCAAGCGUGCAACAUUGCGCACAAUUAAAAGUUACAGUUUACUUUAUAAGAAUAUAAAACACACACACACGAGAUAUAAAUUUCAACGGCUCCCUAUCUUUCGUAAUGUUCCGCACUACAGCGCUGCAAGCAGAAGCGUGUACCUGUGAGACGACAACACAAAAGCCUGUUUAUGCUCGGAUACCAGUUCUCUGUUAUAUUCAAUUAGAAUGCUUUAUGCUCUCUCAACGGUGGCAGUUACCAGCAUAACACAUUGCUGUCAUUCUUUCAUCUCAUCCUCCUCUCUUCUGAAUGGCCUCAUUUAGUUGUCCUCCCGUGGCAGAUGCGCCAGACACACACUGCUGGUCGUUGUGUGUGUGUGUGUGUGUGUAAAGUUACCAGCAGUGAGGCAUCGGCCUAAAUAGUGUUUGUACGCGUGUUAGCGACAUGCAGCUCUUUUUCUGCUUCACGUGAUGGUUUAAGUCGCCGUAUGGCUGCACGGUGUGUGUUGACAGGUGUCGCCGAGGACGGGAACGCACUCAGAAUACAUUUUCCCCGCGUCUCCCAUCUCGUUUAAUAGUCAUCCCGGUGGCUCCUGCAUUCAAACCCACUUAUGCUAAUCGCGCUGCUUGUUCUUUAACCGUUUUAAAUGAGCUCUUAUUGAUCAUCGCUUCACCACAAACAGUUGUGCAGCACACUGCUAUCUAUUGGCAGGAAUUACAGGACGUACGGAUAGGCGGGAAAAAAAAGUGACGAGUCCGCAGAAAGGGAAAGGGGAAUAACAUUUUUUUUUAAAUCAAUAGAGCGUAAGCAGAUUUGGCCCUCGUGAGAAAAGUUCAGGAAAACAACCACGGUGCCUUUUUUCUGCAAAACCGACAGUAAUUUAAACUCGUGAGAAGUUGGGACGGCUGAGAAUCAGUAAACAUCUGGUCCAUUUGUAUGUUUCUCAAUUGCAGUUUGCGAUGUGAUUGACCAUUAGUGAAGUUUUAGUUUGGAAGCAGUCGUCCUGUGAUAUGAUUUGAUGUCAAAAUGAGGUGAGAUUAUUUGUUAUGUUAAAGACCACAGCCAACGAUACCUCUUAAACCUUAUUUAAUCGAACGGUAAUUACUUUUUCCAAUAGUCAGUCAGUACUGUGAGAUCUCUAUGAAAUAUGUUCUAUUUAGAGCCUUCAAGAAAAAUAACUAAUUAUAAUGCAGAUUGGUCACAACAUUAUGGAACGUACAAUAAUGUAAUCAUUUCUGUGUGAAAAAGACACGUUGCCAAAGCAUGAAAGAGAAAUAUCUGUGAUUCUAUGUUAAUUAUUCAAUGAUAAUUGAGUUUAUAUCUUUCUCUACUUGUUUUCCCUCGUGUCCACACAAUCUGCAAGACUGAUAAACCAUUCUGGUAAUUUAAUUUUUACAACUUAAGUGAGUGAUAAAGCAAAGUAUUGUAUCAGUUGGUGCUUUAAAUCAUUCCCGUAUAGAAAUCUAAAUGUUUAGUUUUUUAUCUACCAUCAAAAUACAUUCAUCUCUUAAAAGCCGCUUACACGUUUUUAAAUGUAUUAACAUCAAGUGUGCUGUCCAGAUCAGCAUGGCGACACAAUGUGUCGUCUCCUCCCAGGCUAAUUUAAUUAUUUACUUAUUCCCCUCAUAUACGGGGACAAAAUCCUGUUGUAGGGUAGACAGACAAGCCAACAAAUUCAAAUCCAAAAGAAGGAUAUCAAAAGGACACCAGGAAAUGCUCUAUAUGAUACAAAACUAAAAUCACUAAAAUCAACUUAAGUUAUUUUUUUUUACCUUCAUUGGUAACCCGCUUGAAAAAUCCGGUAUUCUGUUGAUUUGUGUUACCAUUACGAUGUUCAUUUUUGAUUUCUUUUUCUUUCCCCCAAUGAAGGUGCUUGAUAACCAAAACUCCAAUCAGAGCCCCAAUAUAUCAUUGCUCCGCCCUCUUUCCAAACCGUUUACUUUUUCGGUCAACCCCCGAGCAAAAUUAUCAUACUGAACACUGAUUUAAUGAAAAAAGGGAAUUAAUCUCUCAGAUUAAAUCACAUAAUAUGAUUAUAGAAUUGAUUGACAGAAAUGUUUAAAAAAAGUAAUUGGAGUCAUUGGAUAUGAAGUCACAGUACCGAUAAGCGUUUCCUGUCCAAACGUACUUCAAACUGUCACAGCGGCUAUUUCUGUUCCCUUCAUCUUCAACGUGGCCGGUCAAGGUCUCCGGCGUGAAUAUCAAGGUGUCUGACCCCGACACGCUGCCGCCAGAUUGCUUUGCAACAGCCCAUAAUUCAAGGAAAACCACACCGACAGCACCUCAGUGCAGCGCGGCGAGUCACGGUCCACGUUACCGCAACGAUAACGUUCACUCGGAUUAACAGAAAAGUCGACGCAAUAUGUAUUAUGACAAUGGAAUUCAUUACUAAAAAAGCUGUAUAAAAUGAGCAUGUGUGUUAAAGCACAAAGAAAACACUACACAUCUUCAACACCAAUCAUGUCCAGGACAGCCGUGUCAAUAUUAGGACGGCUGUGACCAUCCCCUGAUGACCGCCUGAUGUGACCUUUGGUGGCCCCUUGUACAGCACUGAAAUCACAUUGUCUCCUUCUGUCUCUCCUUCUCUCCUUCUCUGUCUCUCCUUCCCUCGGCGUAUCCCAUCAGUGUCCAACCGCUGCAGAUCCUUUCGCUCUCCUCCUGUUUACAACGUCACAUUAUCAGAAACUUCGAUAAUCCUGGUUGCGUUUUUACCGGAAUGUUGGUGGAUAACGAUAAGUUAAAAAAUGUACACUGCGAGGGUCAAAGUGAGCUGUAAUUAAUCCGAGGUUCAUGUGAGUGUUGUUAAGGAACGUUUAUCAGGGACGUUCUUUGUUUGCCAUUCGACACAAAGCAACACUACGCUUAUAAUAUUCUUCUUAUAUUCCAAUAAAAACUUUUCUGCAGACAAUGAAUCAACUUUAAAUGAGCUCAUAUUCCAAUUAUGUAGCAACCUGGUUAUAUACUUUAAAAUGGAGGUUUAAAAAUAUAAAAGCGUGGGUGAAUGGCCUUGUAUUCUGAAUAUUCAUAUUAUA